ACGCUCGACACCUACGGGAGACAGCAGUGGGGAAUAUUGCACAAUGGGGGAAACCCUGAUGCAGCGACGCCGCGUGAGUGAAGAAGUAUUUCGGUAUGUAAAGCUCUAUCAGCAGGGAAGAAGAUGACGGUACCUGAGUAAGAAGCCCCGGCUAACUACGUGCCAGCACGCCGGACGGUUAAUCUGGAGGCGGGCUGGACGAAGGC
rnacentral:rRNA from 1 species